rnacentral:sRNA from 1 species
AUAAAAAUAGAAGAAAAG